rnacentral:rRNA from 1 species
ACGCUCGACACCUACGGGGGGCAGCAGUGGGGAAGUAUUGCACAAUGGGGGAAACCCGUGAUGCAGCGACGCCGCGUGGAGGAAGAAGGUCUUCGGAUUGUAAACUCCUGUUGUUGGGGAAAAAGAGGAUGGUACCCAACAAGGAAGUGACGGCUAACUACGUGCCCGCAGCCGCGGUAAUCUGAGCGGGCUGGCAAGGC